rnacentral:precursor_RNA from 15 species
CCUCUUGCCAGAAUGAUCUCCAUCUGCCUCCGUUGUAUAGACGUCACAUUUUAUAGUUAAUGAUAAAAGUCACGCCUUGUACAACGGAGGCAUUUGGUGAAGAACCUUCUCGCCAAAC